ensembl:misc_RNA 7SK 7SK RNA
GGAUGUGAGAGUGAUCUGGCUGCGACAAUCUGUCACCCAUUGAUCGCCAGGGUUGAUUCUGCUGAUCUGGCUGGCUAGGCGGGUGUCCCCUUCCUCCCUCACUACUCCAUGUGAGUCCCUCACAAAGCUGUGUGCUUGGUCAAAGAGGACAGCCUUCCCCAAUAGAGACAGACCGGUCUUUGGUUGAGGGUAUACAAGUAGCUGCGCUCCCCUGCUAGAACUUCCAAACAAGCUCUCAAAAAAGGAUAAAUUAACAAAACCAUAUGGUAGGAGGGGUACAACUCCACACAAUUCCCACCACC